AGCCACCUCCCUGAGGAUCCCUCGUUCCCCUGCCGACCCCCGUCCGACGCUGUAACGUCCCCCAGCCUCCCCAAAGACAAGCCGCGUUACAACAGCCAGUACAUAUCAGCUGUCUGAUAUCCAGGAAGACACUAUUUCCACGCCAAGGAAGACAGACGAGACAAAUAUGUAUUUAUUUUCUCGCGUUGCCAGCAGCAACUCUCAUCUCACAUGGACACUGAAAAGACCUGGGACUGUUUUAUAAAAAGAAAAAGCCACUUUUGAGCAUAGCUUUUAUAUUGUUUAAAAAAAAGAAGAAAGUUAAUUUAAAUAUAGUUAUAUUUUUCUUUUCUCCAAAAGUACUGGUGUGUGCAGUAGGUUUUUUUCUGUAGUAUAUUGGUUAUUUUGUAAAUAAUUAUUUUAAUAGUUUCCUGUGAAUUUAUGAACGGUUGGUUUCUUCCUCUUGUCUUGUUGACCACUUUUACUACAGACUGCAACUUCUGAUUCACCUGUUGAUUGAUGAUAAACCCUGGGAUGAAAGGCUAGUUCUGAAUCACCUGUUGAUUGAUGAUAUACCCUGGGAUGAAAGGAUAGUUCUGAAUCACCUGUUGAUUGAUGUUAUACCCUGGGAUGAAAGGCUAGUUCUGAUUCACCUGUUAUACCCUGGGAUGAAAGGCUAGUUCUGAUUCACCUGUUAUACCCUGGGAUGAAAGGCGAGUUCUGAUUCACCUGGUGAUUGAUGUUAUACCCUGGGAUGAAAGGAUAGUUCUGAAUCACCUGUUGAUUGAUGUUAUACCCUGGGAUGAAAGGCUAGUUCUGAUUCACCUGUUGAUUGAUGUUAUACCCUGGGAUGAAAGGCUAGUUCUGAUUCACCUGUUGAUUGAUGAUAUACCCUGGGAUGAAAGGCUAGUUCUAAUUCACCUGUUGAUUGAUGAUAUACCCUGGGAUGAAAGGCUAGUUCUGAUUCACCUGUUGAUAUACCCUGGGAUGAAAGGCUAGUUCUGAUUCACCUGGUGAUUGAUGUUAUACCCUGGGAUGAAAGGCUAGUUCUGAUUCACCUGUUGAUUGAUGUUAUACCCUGGGUGAAAGGCUAGUUCUGAAUCAGGCAGGAUACUAUUCAAAGGCAACAUGUUUAUUUUUUCAAAAGGCAGCAUUCUGGUACGACUCUUUCACAGUGUCUUCACAUAAUAUCUGUUCUGUGGUCAGAUUCCUCCAUCUUGUUUUACUGUGGUGGUGUUGUUGUUGUUGUUGUCACUUCCUUAGUACCUCCUGUAGCUGGUCAGGUCUGACUAAGGGUGUAUCCCAAAUAGCAACCUAUUCAUUAUGUAGGUGAUUACUGUUGACCAGAGACCUAUGGCCAAAAGCUCUGGUCAAAACUAGUGCACUAUAUAGGGAAUAAGGUGGUAUUUGUGAUGCGCACCCUGACUCCAGGUCAGUUUCCUGACAGGUCAGAGCCAGUGGGUCUGUGGAUCUGUCCUCUCAGCUGUGUGACUCGGGGCUGUUGUGCUGUAGAACGGGACGAGGACAACGAUACACACUGAGAGGCUACUUUCACCUACAGAGUUUCAAAUGCUUUAAUGUUUUAAAAAAGAUGGCAUAAAGGAAAAACACCUAAAAUGUACAUUGUCUGUCUGUAAAUAUUUUCACCAGUGGUGCUCUUUGGUUGUAGUAUUGUGUAGGAGGAAGCUGAGGAAGACUGUGGUAACGUUGUACAUAUAGGUAUUAACCAGCAGGGAAGCAGCGGGGAAUCACCCUUCUCAAACAUACAACAUGACUUUCCACUAGUCGAAGCUGGAGCACGAACGUCUCAUCACCUGUCAUCUCUCUUCAUCCUAACAAGUUGAAACGUUUUAAUAAAGAUGGAUUGCUUUGUAUCCAGAAGGAGGCUGUUGGUUUUCACUGGGAUCCUGAGGAGGGUGAAGGUCAGUGUACAUGUCUUACUGAGGUGUGGGGAACACUGGGUCUGUAGUCUGUGUUGAGGUGUGGGGAACACUGGGUCUGUAGUCUGUGUUGAGGUGUGGGGAACACUGGGUCUGUAGUCUGUUGAGGUGUGGGGAUCACUGGGUCUGUAGUCUGUGUUGAGGUGUGGGGAACACUGGGUCUGUAGUCUGUCUUACUGUGUUGAGGUGUGGGGAACACUGGGUCUGUAGUCUGUCAUACUGUGUUGAGGUGUGGGGAACACUGGGUCUGUAGUCUGUGUUGAGGUGUGGGGAACACUGGGUCUGUCUUACUGUGUUGAGGUGUGGGGAACACUGGGUCUGUAGUCUGUGUUGAGGUGUGGGGAACACUGGGUCUGUAGUCUGUGUUGAGGUGUGGGGAACACUGGGUCUGUAGUCUGUUGAGGUGUGGGGAUCACUGGGUCUGUAGUCUGUGUUGAGGUGUGGGGAACACUGGGUCUGUAGUCUGUCUUACUGUGUUGAGGUGUGGGGAACACUGGGUCUGUAGUCUGUCUUACUGUGUUGAGGUGUGGGGAACACUGGGUCUGUAGUCUGUGUUGAGGUGUGGGGAACACUGGGUCUGUCUUACUGUGUUGAGGUGUGGGGAACACUGGGUCUGUCUUACUGUGUUGAGGUGUGGGGAACACUGGGUCUGUCUUACUGUGUUGAGGUGAGGGGAACACUGGG
rnacentral:lncRNA from 1 species